GAAUCGGAGUUAAAACGAGGGAGAUAUGACCGAAAUACCAAACCGACACGUUGCUGUUCGGAAUCUGGUGCCUGCGCGUGAGUUACACGCGCCGGAUAAUGGCUGCGCGUGGGGGCGCGUGUCCAUCCUUCUUUUGGCGCGUGAGGGCGCGUGAGAGAAACCUAGGCCGUUUGCUGUAAAAUUAUAUCGUCGAAGAGAUAACUCAACAAGGUUCGACGAGCGGCUCUAAAGGAAAGGAGGUAGCUGAAGAAUAAGUUUAAUUUGCUGUCUAUAGCAUGUUUAGAAUAUUUUCAUUUAUAUGCGAACCUAUGUAUGUCUUGGAUAUGUUUAAGACGUUCAGUUAUAUCUUGCGAGAGAUGAUGUCCAUGUAAUUCAUUUUGUAAACGUCUUGAACAAUUUUAUGAUAAAUAAAGUAUUAUGGUUGUGAACCAUAUCAGGUUCGAUCUAUC